GACGAACGCUGGCGGCGUGCCUAAUACAUGCAAGUUGAGCGAUGAAGAUUGGUGCUUGCACCAAUUUGAAGAGCAGCGAACGGGUGAGUAACGCGUGGGGAAUCUGCCUUUGAGCGGGGGACAACAUUUGGAAACGAAUGCUAAUACCGCAUAACAACUUUAAACAUAAGUUUUAAGUUUGAAAGAUGCAAUUGCAUCACUGAAAGAUGAUCCCGCGUUGUAUUAGCUAGUUGGUGAGGUAAAGGCUCACCAAGGCGAUGAUACAUAGCCGACCUGAGAGGGUGAUCGGCCACAUUGGGACUGAGACACGGCCCAAACUCCUACGGGAGGCAGCAGUAGGGAAUCUUCGGCAAUGGACGAAAGUCUGACCGAGCAACGCCGCGUGAGUGAAGAAGGUUUUCGGAUCGUAAAACUCUGUUGGUAGAGAAGAACGUUGGUGAGAGUGGAAAGCUCAUCAAGUGACGGUAACUACCCAGAAAGGGACGGCUAACUACGUG
rnacentral:rRNA from 1 species